CUUUGUGGGAGAUGGGCUUAUAAAAAUCUCCCAUGUAAAAUGAAAAUUGAUUGUACCUUGGGAAUGGUGAUGCCCGCCAUUUACCCUACUAAAACUUUACCUGAAAACACCCAUCAUCAUUGGCAAAAGCGAGACACCGAUUUAUCAGGAUUUAAAAUGGACAGAAACAUGCAGUUUUGGGUCUCUCUCUUUCCAAUGGUGGGGGUGGGAAUGAUGAUAACUAAUUUAAAUCUUUUAAUUGAUACUAUUGAUGAUGCCUUUAAUAGCACAGGACUUGCUAUCAGUUUGCUUAAUUAUGAGCAAGAACAGAUUAGACAGGUAGCUUUGCAGAACAGAAUAGCCUUAGAUUACUUGCUUGCAGCAGAAGGAGGAGUAUGUAAAAGAAUAGGAGGCAAGGCAUGUUGUGUGUGGAUAAAAGAUAAAUCAGG